AGGGUUUCGACCCUCACGAACACUACUUGAUCUUAUCUGAGCUUGCCGUCCGGCGGCGCCGCGGCUGCCGGAGUCGCCUCUCCGGCAUUCGCGCCGCCACCGCUGUCCUCGUACGGUUGGCGGGAAGGUGGCGCGCUUUGUUCGGGGAAAGAGGCGGGUUUGGUAUCCGUGGCGCUCGCCGGCGGUGAGCGAUGACGACUGCCCGCGGUCGGAGCGCGUGCGAUGAUGGCCGCGCGGGUUCACCAAAACAACAAACAGAUCACAAUGUUUUGCGUUUUUUCUGCCAUUGUUUUAUUGAUGAUUUUUUUAUUCGGAGUUCUAUUCAUUUAGUUGUUCUCGUAUUAGUCAAUGUGCGUUGGGUUGUUAGUGGUUUCGUAGAUCCUGUUUGGCAAUAGUGGAUGUAAAAGCGCUUUUUGUUUGUGUAGAAUGUGUUAGGAUAGUAUACAAAUGUUUUGUAAUUGAACAUGUGCAUAGAUAUGUUAGCAUUGUACUUGUUGAGCUUACUUUGUAAGUUUGGGCAUAUCGAAUUUUGCUUAAUUAUCAUUGAAACCUUGUUUUCAUCCUAGUUUUGUAGUUUAGUUUUUAAAUAUGUCCAUAUUACAGUAUCACUCCACUUCAGUUCAAUGUCAUGUAUAUUAGCAUGCCAUGUUUUCGAUGAUGUUGUAGGUUUAUAUCAAUCAAUUAUUAGCUUAAAGAGGAUGAUAUACAGAAUUCUAUUCUGUGGACCAAACGGAACCUUGAUGGUUUGAGGACAGUCCCUUCAAUGAUAUACAAAUCAAAUAUUUUCUUGUGUCCUUGAGAAAUUUGGAAGACGCACUGUUAAAAUCCAUGUCUUUUUUGCUAUGCAUGGCUGAUGUGGACUCUAAUUUCUCCUCGGUUUUGAACUUUUGAUGCGGACUCUAAUUGCAAGAUCCUUUUGAAAAUCGUGGUUUUUCUUCCACAAUGUGGUUUUGACUAAAUAAACGUUCAAAGUUUAAAAAAAAAGCCCUCAUGACUUGACUUGUGCAUUUUUGUAUCAACCUGAAUCAGCUCAGCAUCUUUUCUUGGUUUGCAACAUUGCAUAAGUUUGUAGGGUUUUAGAAGCCGUGCAGAGCACUACAACAGUGCCUACAAUCCGUCUGUUGGAUGCACGGCCUUUAUGUGAUCAUUCUAAUGGAGUAAUGGCCUUCCAUUGCUAUAUCUGGAACAUAUAGAUAACAAGUCUUGUUUUGAGUGCAAAAACUGUCACUUUGAUGUGAUCUUUUGAAUUUGUACAAAUUUUAAUAGUGGGCAGGUUUAAGCAAGGAUGAAGCUGCUGCUGUGUAAGCAAAGGAGGGUAACUUCUGAAUAUGACUCUGAACGUUGGUGUGAAGUUGCAACAACGGGAAGAUGGCGAGUAUGUUGAAGAAAACUGAUGCAGUCAUGAAGAUCAUAUUUAAUCUUUUCUACUACCAGUUGUUGUCGAUGGCUUCUUCAUUCUUUGUUGCUGAUCUAUCGCUGUUUGUCACCGACUCGAUACUUCCCUUUUAGUUUUAGGUUGACUAAGGCUAGGUUUGUCACCGACUCGAUACUUCCCUUUUAGUUUUAGGUUGACUAAGGCUAGCUUAAGCUUGGGUAUUUUGUCUGUAUGAUCACCUGCUUUGCUUUCCCUGUUCCCAAAUGUACUCUGAAAAUAAGAACUAUGUUAUUUCUCUUCAUAUCAAAUGUAUAAAUGGUUACCCUGUUAAAAGAGAUUAAUGAACUGUCAUGUGGUUCUUAUUUU
rnacentral:sRNA from 1 species